UACGUAGGGUGCAAGCGUUAAUCGGAAUUACUGGGCGUAAAGCGUGCGCAGGCGGCUAUGCAAGACAGAUGUGAAAUCCCCGGGCUUAACCUGGGAACUGCAUUUGUGACUGCAUAGCUAGAGUAGGGCAGAGGGGGAUGGAAUUCCGCGUGUAGCAGUGAAAUGCGUAGAUAUGCGGAGGAACACCGAUGGCGAAGGCAAUCCCCUGGGCCCGUACUGACGCUCAUGCACGAAAGCGUGGGGAGCAAACAGG
rnacentral:rRNA from 1 species